GUGAAAGGAGAGUGCACCAUUAAAACCACAAAACACAAUUUGCAAACUGAUUCCGUGUCAUGUGGUAUCCACACACUUGCUUUUGCCACUGAUUUCAUGAAGUCUGCUGGCUGCAUUACCUCCUUCCAGUGCCCUGCAAUAAAACAAGAGAGAAUGCGCCUGGCCUCACUUUUGUUUCAGUCUUUAGAUCGAACUAAAAAAUGUGGAAUUUGUGCCAAAAAUGUUUCAGGGAGAAAGACAGAGGCAUGUACCUGUGGGGCAGUGAUGCAUGUAGACUGU